ACAUAUAUAAACAGAGAACACGUAAAAAGUACCCAAGAUGUUUAGUUGGUCUAUGGUAUGUCAGCAGACUGGUUGUUUAAAAUCGCUGCAAAACCGUGUACAAAAAUACAACAUAAAACUGGAGCACAUGAUAUGAAAGUGAAAGCAACUCCCUGGAGUGACGGAAGUUCCUUAUUAAAAAAGAAAAGCUGAACCACUGCGUCGAGAUUUGUGGAAACAAGUGCACCGGACACAAUUCACAAACCUGUAAAGUACGUUCAUUUAAUUCAGGGUUGUGCAAACCUGCGACACGUGGAACUGGUUUAAAGAUAUUUCAUAAACUGCUGUAUGCAAGACUAUACAACAUAAUAUGGGGAAGUGAUAGUCAACUAUAUUACCAUGUGUUGGAGUUUCUGGUUCUGUCAAUCAGUAAAAAUGAGAGUAAGAUGAAAAAUGUUUUCUUCAGGUAUGUCUUUGGCCUUUAUCCACUGGGACUAGUUCUGUUGCCUAUUGUGUACCCCUGUGGGAACAAGACCACAACUUCUAUAAUUAUGGAUUACAGGAACCUCAUUGGCAGUCCAAUUUCCGAAGUUCAUGAAAUAAUUUCAAGAAAAAUUAAUCAAACCUGCUUGGAAAACCACAAUAAUACCUGUGAACAAAAUAAAGAAACUGUCUACAUUCAUCAAGUGGUGUGUUUAAUUCAACAAAGGAGACUACAUUUUACAGAAUUCCAGCCACAAUUAACAAUUCUUCUUAAAACAAUACAAAAAUCUCUUGGAUGUGACUGUGAACUGGGUCGCAGUGCUGUCCAUAAAAGAGAUACCACACAAAAUCCAAGAAGAAGAAAACAAAUACAGAAAAGGCUUUGCAAACUAAAGAACCGUAUAGCCAAUAUACAGUCUUGUUUUCAAAAGUUUAAUUCAAGGGAAGUCACCUAACUGGAAUGCUGUGACUUGAGACAAUAAAUUAUUAAACUCAAACCUAACCGCUUUAUAAGCAUGCAUUUGUACAUACUGUACCAACUGGCAUAUCAGGAAGAUACAAGAAUACCAGAAAGCAAUAUAAUGCUGAUAUAGGAGGUCUCAAAACAGUACUGCUUUGUUGAAUUCUGUGUCCAGCCACAUUGUAGCUUAAAUGAGUGUACAUGUAAGUGGAUAAUUUUGCUGGGGCAGAAUUUGAUGUUGGGGCAAAUGUCUAAUGCUAGGGAAAAACACAUUUACCCUUGAUUUUUGAUAAAAAAAACUGCAAAUGGAGGCAAACUGCCUUUGCCCUGUAAUGCGAUUUUGGUACAUGCUUUGCCCUAUCGUUUUCCGUUCUGUGUUAGUGCUAGUGAUCUGCAUAACUUCUGCGAAAUGGCCUCAUUUGCAUGUUGUCUUUUUGUGAUUUUGAUGACGAUGGAGGCGACUGUGUUACAAAUGCAGGCGCUGUUGAUCUCAUUACAAAAAUGGAACAGCAAGUGGUCAAGGAGAAGGAGCGAGCGAGAGCCAGUUUUUUCAGAAUUGCGUGAGUUUCAAAUCCCACACAAGAGAAAAAUAUUCUCUGUAAUACAGUAUUUCACACAUGUAUGAAGUAUGGACUUUAUAUUAUUUUAAAAAACUGUUUUUGUCUGUCAGAAUUUUUCAGAGCAGCAUUGAUGUAUGAAGCCGGUAUAGAUCAUUCUGUCUGUACUCUGUACAUUGCCACUUUAGAAAUUGGAAACUCCGCCAUGUUUAUUAACUAAAAUCGACAUUUUAUUAAAGCACAGAUUACCAGGUUUCCUCAAAAUCGGGCCAAAUAAGUAUAUAAGCAAACAUUUGUAAGGCUUUGAAUGUUGAGGUAUACAAAAGGUGGUGAAAUAAACUAUCCAUGCUUCAUCUAACAAGUAACAUACAGUAUGUAGUCCACAGUAUAAAGCAACUAUUGGAAAAGCUUUGAAUGUACACUUAUUUUUUCUGGUUCCUCUAGUGAGGCACGCCAAAUAACAUGUAUAUUGAGUUAGAUGAAAGUGGGAAAUCAUCUAUUAAUUUUCCAUGUAAUAUACAGGUAGCAACAUCUAUGUUAAUGCUUUUAUAUGUAUUUUAACAUAUUGUAAAAAAAAACCCCAAAAACAUAGUUUAUAUGAUACACUUUAAAUUAAAAGCUGCUGUUUCUCCUUUGAGGAUUAUUUAAGAGUCAAACAUCUUUUAAUUUAAUAAGAGGUUGACAAAAUACUUGAAAAAGCGACAUUUAGACUUUAACAUGACUAGGCAUGACUACAUCAGUGUUGCUCUAAAAAUGUUUUAUUUCUUUAAAACAAAGCUAUGUAAGGUAACAAAUCUAAAACAUUAAAAGCAUUGUGCUUUGUUUCUAUUUAUCCUAGUAUUAAUAUAUCAAAUGAUAUAUAUAUGUGCAAGACGCUAUGAAACUAAAGCUUUUAUGAGUAAUAUGCAGUACCAACAAAAAUUAUGGAAUCAAAUGAUUUAGGGGUGGGGAUUGUAUUGGCCACUUUUUAGACCCCUUACUAAAUAUCUUGGUAAGUGGUAUCUGCGAAUAGAUAAUCAUCUCCUUAAAAAACAAUUACAAAAUUGAGCAUUUAAUUUCCCAAGUAGGGUAUGGUGCUCCAAAAUGUUCUCCUUUUUUCUAGGAAAGCAGUACAACUGAUGUGGAGUUUGUUGCUGGAUAAUCUCACUCGGACUUCUCUCUAAAUAGAUUGGUAUCCCUGGAAAGAUUGUAAUGAGCCGUCUGUCCCAGAAGGGCAUUGUUUUCCUAAAUAUGAUCCCCUUACUACCAAUGUAGAAAAAGGAAAACAUUGUACUUGUGAGAGGGCAUGCGCAUUAAAAUAUUUUGCAUAUAUUUAAAGAGGAGACGAUUAUCUAGUCAGGGAUGCCAAGAUAUUUAGUAAGUAUAGGGUCUGAGUGAGAAAAAAUGGGCAUAAAAAUGCCCUUCUGUACAUCAUUUUCCAGAUUUCAUAAUUUGUGUUGGUACUGUACAGUAUAUUGAGGACAACUAUCAUGUCUUUAUAGCACUGUAUUUGUAUCAUUCUAUAAUA